GGGAAAAAUUCCAAGUUUUUCAACUUUGAUCCAAAAAUCUUAUCUUCUUGAAUUCUUGUCAAGUUCGAGGCCCUCUUCAACGUGGUAUAAUUAAUUGAGCGAGAAAAUUUCAUUUGUGGCAAGUCGAAAAUUCAAGAAAAGAUUUUGGAAGAAACGGGAUUUGAAUUUGAGUGAGCGUAAGAAGCGGAUAAGGUAUAGACGUUCUAGAUCUAUCGG